rnacentral:rRNA from 1 species
UGAAGUAAGUAAGGGCGUACGGUGAAUGCCUUGGUGCCAACAGGCGAAGAAGGACGCGGCAAGCUGCGAAAAGCCUCGGGAAGCUGCAAGCAAGCGAUGAUCCGGGGAUAUCCGAAUGGGGUAACCUGAUCGAGGCAAUACUCGAUCGUUCAUACCUGAAUACAUAGGGUAUGAAACGCGAAACCCGCUGAAGUGAAACAUCUCAGUAAGCGGAGGAAAAGAAAGAGAAAUCGAUUCCGUAAGUAGUGGCGAGCGAAAGCGGAUGGAGCCCAAACCGAAGGUAUUCCUUCGGGGUUGUAGGACCACGUCAUAUUCGACCAUACUGGAUAGUAGAACAGCCUGGAAAGGCUGGCCGGAGAAGGUGAAAGCCCUGUAGACGAAAUCCAGAGUGGGAAUUAGUGGUAUCCUGAGUAAUACAUCACACGUGGAACGAUGUAUGAACCCGCGCGGACCACCGCGCAAGGCUAAAUACUAGUUGGCGACCGAUAGUGAACAAGUACCGCGAGGGAAAGGUGAAAAGAACCGCUGUGAGCGGAGUGAAAUAGAACCUGAAACCGUAUGUCUACAAAGUGUCAGAGCAGAGCAAUCUGCGAUGGCGUGCCUUUUGUUUAAUGAGUCUGCGAGUCAGUGUUUGUGGCAAGACUAAGGGCUUCCGGCCCGGAGUCGCAGCGAAAGCAAGUCCGAACAGGGCGCAAUAAGUCGCAGGUACUGGACCCGAAGCGGAGGUGACCUACCCUUGGCCAGGUUGAAGCAUGGGUAAAACCAUGUGGAGGACCGAACAGGUGAACGUUGAAAAGUUCUCUGAUGAGCUGAGGGUAGGAGUGAAAGGCUAAUCAAACCCCGUGAUAGCUGGUUCUCUUCGAAAUGCAUUUAGGUGCAGCGUCACGUGCUGAUGCGCGGGGGUAGAGCACUGACAAGGCUAGGGGGCACACCCGCUUACCAAACCUUAUCAAACUCCGAAUACCGUGCAAUGGAACGUGGCAGUGAGACAGUGGGGGAUAAGCUUCAUUGUCGAGAGGGAAACAACCCAGACCAGCAGCUAAGGUGCCUAAAUAACGCUCAGUGGAAAGGAUGUGGGAUUACACAGACAGUGAGGAUGUUGGCUUAGAAGCAGCCACCAUUUAAAAAAUGCGUAAUAGCUUACUCAUCGAGUGAUCCUGCGCCGAAAAUGAUUGGCGAUCAAGCGUUAUACCGAAGCUCUGGACUUUGCCGCAAGGCAGAGUGGUAGAAGAGCGUUGCAUGCGCGUCGAAGGGCGAUGGCGACUGACCCUGGAGCACAUGCAAGUGAGUAUGCAGACAUGAGUAACGUUAAGCCGGGUGAAAUCCCCGGCCGCCGUAAACCCGAGGUUUCCAGGGCAACGUGUUUCGUCCCUGGGUUAGCCGGGACCUAAGCCGAGGCCGAGAGGCGUAGGCGAUGGACAUCAGGUUAAUAAUCCUGAGCUCGCAACCCUUAAACUGGGGGGACGCAUGAGAAAAGAUGACUAGGUUAUUGAAUUCCGAGUUGAGUCUACGGACUCAGCGCAUCAUUGGAUCGAGUGCCAAGAAAAGCCCCAGCGUAUGCUAAGCGACCCGUACCGCAAACCGACACAGGUGGGUGGGUAGAAUAUACCAAGGCGUAAGAGUGAAACCUGGUUAAGGAACUCGGCAAAUUAGCCCCGUAACUUCGGAAGAAGGGGUGCCUGCAGCGAUGCAGGCCGCAGAGAAAUGGCCCAACCGACUGUUUAUCAAAAACACAGCACUCUGCAAAGACGCAAGUCGAAGUAUAGGGUGUGACACGUGACCAAUGCCGAAAGAUUAAGGCAAGGGGUUAGCCGCAAGGCGAAGCUCUAAACCCAAGUCCCGGUGAAUGUCGGCCGUAACUAUAACGGUCCUAAGGUAGCGAAAUUCCUUGUCGGGUAAGUUCCGACCUGCACGAAUCGUGAAACGAGUUGGGCACUGUCUCAACCAGGCGCUCAGUGAAAUUGUAGUGGCGGUGAAGAUGCCGCCUACCCGCAGAAGGACGGAAAGACCCUAUAGACCUUAACUGUAAGCUGUCAUUGUUUCUUCGGUUUUAAUGCUCAGAGUAAGUGGGAGACGCUGAAGACGCCCUUUAGGGGGCGUCCGAGUCAUCAAUGAGACACCACCCUUUGAAACUGGAGGAUCUAACCCUGAGCCGUGAAUCCGGCCAGAGGACCGUGUCAGCCGGUCAGUUUUACUGGGGCGGUAUCCUCCCAAAGAGUAACGGAGGAGCGCGAAGGUGGGCUCAGCCCGGUUGGCAACCGGGUGUCGAGUGCAUGGGCAUAAGCCCGCCUAACUGUGAGACCAACAAGUCGAGCAGAUGCGAAAGCAGGCCCAAGUGAUCCGGCGGUAGAAAGUGGAAUUGCCGUCGCUCAACGGAUAAAAGGUACCUUAGGGAUAACAGGCUGAUCACGCCCAAGAGUUCAUAUCGACGGCGUGGUUUGGCACCUCGAUGUCGGCUCGUCGCAUCCUGGGGCUGGAGAAGGUCCCAAGGGUUGGGCUGUUCGCCCAUUAAAGCGGCACGCGAGCUGGGUUCAGAACGUCGUGAGACAGUUCGGUCCAUAUCCGGUAUGCGCGCAAGAGAUUUGAACGGAGUCUUCCUUAGUACGAGAGGACCGGGAAGAGGGAACCUCCAGUGUACGGGUUAUUCUGCCAAGAGUAAACGCCCGGUAGCUGUGUUCCAAGCGGAUAAGUGCUGAAAGCAUAUAAGUACGAAGCCCACCGUAAGAUGAGAUCUCUCAUGACACAAGUCAGUAAGUUCCCACGAAGAUCACGUGGUUGAUAGGUCAGAGAUGUAAGUAUGGCAACAUAUUCAGUCGACUGAUACUAAUAGAACGAGGGCUUUUCCU